CUUUGGAGAAAAUUGAGACUGGUCAAUAAUUUUAAUUUUUAAUAUUUCUUUUAUUUUUCAAUUGCAUUCAUAUGACAUAUGCUUAUUUUCUCACUUUCAUUAUUUGUUUAAUGAUGUAGAAGUAUAUUCUAGUUCUCAAAUGAAAAAGCAAGUGAUUGCCAGUACAUCUUGAGUACAUAUUGAAUGGUAUAGUGACUAAUAACCUUCCUUUAUCUCAAAUAACAUGCCCAUGUACUUGAUAUUUAUUCUUAACUUUGUUUUUCUUUGGCUGUAGUACAUGAAUCAGAUUUGGAUUGAAGAUUACUAGGCCUUUUUGCUGCAGUUUUUGGUUUUUUGAAACGUUUAAACUAAUUUCCUUUUGUUUUGUAACAUUAUUUGCUAUUUUAUUAUGUAAUUUUCAUGUUCGUUUGUAACUAUAAAACUAAGUUCUUUGAUUUUGUACUUGGAUGAAUUAGACUAUUG
rnacentral:lncRNA from 1 species